GCCAGAUUUCUUGACUCCCACUGUUUUCCUCCUUUCAUCUUGUUAUUAAUCGUUGCCGGAAAUAAACCUUAUCCACGUCCCCAAAAAUUUCUUAGAGAGCUGUUCAGAUUUGACUUUCACUGUCACUACCAUUAAGGGACCAUUAACCAAUCAGAUGCGUACGAUAUGUCCGAUUAACCAAUCAGAUGCGUACUAAGUCAGUGAGAG